AGUGAACGCUGGCGGUAGGCCUAACACAUGCAAGUCAAACGGCAGCACAGUAAGAGCUUGCUCUUACGGGUGGCGAGUGGCGGACGGGUGAGGAAUACAUCGGAAUCUGCUUUUUCGUGGGGGAUAACGUAGGGAAACUUACGCUAAUACCGCAUACGACCUACGGGUGAAAGCAGGGGAUCUUCGGACCUUGCGCGAUUGAAUGAGCCGAUGUCGGAUUAGCUAGUUGGCGGGGUAAAGGCCCACCAAGGCGACGAUCCGUAGCUGGUCUGAGAGGAUGAUCAGCCACACUGGAACUGAGACACGGUCCAGACUCCUACGGGAGGCAGCAGUGGGGAAUAUUGGACAAUGGGCGCAAGCCUGAUCCAGCCAUACCGCGUGGGUGAAGAAGGCCUUCGGGUUGUAAAGCCCUUUUGUUGGGAAAGAAAAGCAGCAGGUUAAUACCCCGCUGUUCUGACGGUACCCAAAGAAUAAGCACCGGCUAACUUCGUG
rnacentral:rRNA from 1 species